rnacentral:tRNA from 1 species
GAAGCUGCAACUCAGGGGUAGAGUCUCUGCUUUGUAUGCAGAACGUUCCUGGUUCAGUUCCUGGUGGCUUCA